UAUUGUUUAAUGUUUAAGUCAACUAGUUCCGUUAAAAAAUUGUGCAUUGGUCAGAACCGGUCAGAAUGCAGUAUAAUCUUAAAAUUUGUAAUUAUUAUCAACAUAAAAAUUAAAUGCUUAAAUACGAUUGAAUUACAGUUGAAAGGAGGUUAAGCAGACCAAUAUCAUUAUACAGAUCAAGUAAGGACUCGUAUUUGAUAAAUCAUCAAAACAUGGUUUGUUAGAUAAUACCGAAACUUGGACCCUGUGUAUGCUGAAAAUAUUAAUCAAGAAUAUCGGAGUAACUCUAAACAUCUUGUGUGGUUGGGUUUUGAUUGAUGCCUCUGCUGUUCACUCUAGAAAGAAGUUAAUGGGUUUUGUCAACUGAACACAACUACAACAGGGACUUCCCCGUAAAUGAGAAAGAGGGAGAGAACAUUGAAGUAAAUUUUGACCUUACCGAAAAACAAAUGGUGCAGUAUAGAAUAUUGUUCUUGCUGGAUUUCAUUUAAUGUCAAAAAAGGAUUUUACAUAAACUGUGGAUGCCGUUCGUUGUGGAGCAUUGAUUGUAGGAAUUCUCUCCAGAAAGUAGCAGUACCUCAAAGAAUUGUAAGUGUCUUUUUUCCACCACAAAAGGAUUACUUGUUUAUUUGUGACAAUGAAUUAUCAAUUGUCAUGAGUGCACUCCACAAUCAAGAGGUCAAAAUAUGCCAUUUUUCGUAAUGCCUCUUGAUGAUGUUAGGUAGAUAAAUGGUCCACAUACGUCAUUAACGAGGGUUGGAGUUUAUUAUAGGACUGCAAGGAUAUUACAAUUUAGGAACAUAACUCCAGAUUCCAUAUGUUACAAAACAUUGGUUGUAUCAGUGCUCUUGCACUCUAGAAAGUGGUAAUACCCGAAGCUUGAGGAAGGCGUGAAGGUGCCUUUUACCGUUGGGAACGAAGAAAGUGUGCUGUAGCUGAAGGAAAGAUUUAUGACAAUGAACUGGUAAGUAACAGUAUUCAAAAGGCCUGUUUGGCGUUUAUAAAUUUUUUAAAGAACAUCGAUUUGCACUUCCAACCCCCAAUUUAAAAACGUUUUUAUUUCGUGAUUAUUAAUAUUUUAAAUCCUGAUUUUGAAAGCCGAAUCUUUAAUAAGUAAAAGAAGUCAGAACUGCUACUGCAGCCUGACGUUCAGAAUACUUUGCA